CAGGACACUUGUUCAGGCGUCUAGGGGACACAAAUUGGAACAGAACUUGAGCCCUCAAAAUGCUUAUACCUUAGCAAACUCAUGUGGCUCAGAGCCUUCACAACAAAGAAGGAAAGGCAAAGUCUCCUUUUUCACCUACAAAGGAUUCAUCUUCUUCUAUACCCUCUUUGUUACAGGACAGCAAUGCUUCCAAGCUAGAGGCAUUCAAGGAGUGGCCCGGAGAACAUGUCAUUCAGGGCCUGGAAGAUUUCCAUCAGCAUUCAGAUGUCAGGAGCAAUGGAGCACCAGUGGUGGAAGAACCUACCUCCCCUGGCUCCAUCAAAGGCCACAGGCCCAUGAGAAUCACCCAGCCUGCUCUGAGCGGCACACUCGGAGACCACAGCCGCGCACAGGAAAGUGAGAGGAAGUGGAAACGUGCGAGCAGAGGGCUCAAAGCAACGGGCUCGCCACCGGAAAAAAAAAAAAAUAAAAAUAAACAUGCUCAGAAAUAGUGUAACUGAUAUGCAAAGAAGAUCAAAACAAGGGUUUUAAAAUAUCUUGGCUGCUUUAGAGAAGGUGGGGGUGGUAAUUAAAUCGAGGUUGCAAAUGCGUGUUAGGGGAGUGGGGCGGUUAGGUGGAUGGUUCACUGAAGACUGCCAGGCCAUGGGAGCCUGGGAGCCCAAGGGUAUUUCAGAUGAAAAUGUGGCACUUAUAUGUGGAAUGUAAAAAAUAGUUGAACUCAUAGAAGCAGAGAAUAAAAUGGUUAUUCUCAGAGGCUGCCAGGUGGUGGGACUGGGGAGAUGUUGGUCAAAGGAUACAACAUUUUAAUAAAUUCAAGAGAUUCAUUGCCCAUCAUGGUGACUAUAGUUAACAUCAAUAGAUUUUAUAUUUAUUUAUUUAUUUAUUUAAUUAUUU
rnacentral:lncRNA from 1 species